UACGGAGGGUGCGAGCGUUGUCCGGAUUCACUGGGCGUAAAGGGUGCGUAGGCGGUUGGGUAAGUCUGUCGUGAAAUCUCCGAGCCUAACUCGGAAACUGCGUCGGAUACUAUUCAACUCGAGGAAUGGAGGGGAGACUGGAAUUCUCGGUGUAGCAGUGAAAUGCGUAGAUAUCGAGAGGAACACCAGUGGCGAAGGCGAGUCUCUGGACAUUUCCUGACGCUGAGGCACGAAAGCCAGGGGAGCAAACGGG
rnacentral:rRNA from 1 species